rnacentral:lncRNA from 1 species
CAUCCCUUUAAAUCACAGAAUGUUUGAGCAAAAGGGUCUUUCAUGAUCAUCUAAUUCACCCCACUCACAUACACACAUUUGAUAGAAUUUUCAAAGAUGUAAAUUGCCUUAAUCAAAGUCCUAUGAUCAAUUGAACUGACUCACAAACUAUUGACCUGACUCACAAAAGAGCUAAACAUGGAAUUAGUCUGAUGUUUACAAAAAGAUGUUUUCCAAGUAUUGAAUGAGAUCAUGGAGUUAGGAGCUUUGCCAACUUCAAAGGGCUAUGUUAAUAUUAGCCAUCAGCAGCAGCAGCAUCAUGCUAAAUCAUCACCAUAUCUUAAACAAUUUAAUCCAAGGCUAGGAAACAUCUAAAUCAUCUGUAAAAUGAGAGGGUUGGGGUUAAUUAGCUGUAAUCUUUCUUGCAGCCCUAGCUUUCUGUGCUUAUAGGAUCCAUAUCAUAUGGAUUGGACUUGUAGGAGUGAGCCAUCGCUUUUGUUAGCAGAUGAAAAAGCCUCUGAGCAUCUGUGUCAUAACAACGUCUGCUGAUUGAGCAUCCUUUCCUUUUUUUGCAGGAGAAAAGAUUUGAUGCGUUAGUAAUGUGCUUCAUACUGACCUUCCGAUGGGCAGUGACUGGCAUGUCUAUGGAGGGAGGCCACUUUCAAAGCACAGGGGGACAAAAGGGCCUCCUCCUCAUGCCCAGGUUGCUAGGCCAUCAGCUUGAAGUCUGACUGUCACCUGGGGCACAUACCAGUUCUUUAGGAGGUCAAGACAACAGCCUGAGAAGUGAGGAGACUCCAUCAAAGCAGUUCAGCACCUUUCCUGCAAUUUAUAGUCUGAGAGUGACAAGGAUCAGGAUCUGAACCCAGUGCAUCGUGACUCAGAGCUGAAUUCUCUGUCCACUUCCCCAUGAGUAUCGUCAUCACAUCAUCAUUCUGUAGGGGUUAUCGGAAUGGUUCUACAAAUGUUAAGCACUCCUUUCAUUGCUGUUAUUAUUGUUACUAAUUAUUCACUUCUGCUUCCCACCUAAGGCUAUCCCAAGAUGGGAGUCAUUAAACUCUUUGAGAUCCUUGAAAAGAGCCCCAAGUUCUAGG